rnacentral:misc_RNA from 1 species
GAUGAAGAACGUAGCGAAAUGCGAUAAGUAAUGUGAAUUGCAGAAUUCCGUGAAUCAUCGAAUCUUUGAACGCACAUUGCGCCCGUCAGUAUUCUGGCGGGCAUGCCUGUUCGAGCGUCAUUACGCCCCUCAAGUCCCCUGUGGACUUGGUGUUGGGGAUCGGCGAGGCUGGUUUUCCAGCACAGCCGUCCCUUAAAUUAAUUGGCGGUCUCGCCGUGGCCCUCCUCUGCGCAGUAGUAAAACACUCGCAACAGGAGCCCGGCGCGGUCCACUGCCGUAAAACCCCCCAACUUUUUAUAGUUGACCUCGAAUCAGGUAGGACUACCCGCUGAACUUAAGCAUAUCAAUAAGCGGAGGA